CAGCCGCCGCGGGAAAACGUAGGUGGCAAGCGUUGUCCGGAAUUAUUGGGCGUAAAGGGCUCGCAGGCGGUUUCUUAAGUCUGAUGUGAAAGCCCCCGGCUCAACCGGGGAGGGUCAUUGGAAACUGGGAAACUUGAGUGCAGAAGAGGAGAGCGGAAUUCCACGUGUAGCGGUGAAAUGCGUAGAGAUGUGGAGGAACACCAGUGGCGAAGGCGACUCUCUGGUCUGUAACUGACGCUGAGGAGCGAAAGCGUGGGGAGCGAACAGGAUUAGAUACCCCUGUAGUCCCUGUCUCUUAUAC
rnacentral:rRNA from 1 species